rnacentral:rRNA from 1 species
GGAGGCAGCAGUGGGGAAUAUUGCACAAUGGGCGCAAGCCUGAUGCAGCCAUGCCGCGUGUAUGAAGAAGGCCUUCGGGUUGUAAAGUACUUUCAGCGAGGAGGAAGGCGUUAAGGUUAAUAACCUUGGCGAUUGACGUUACUCGCAGAAGAAGCACCGGCUAACUCCGUGCCAGCAGCCGCGGUAAUACGGAGGGUGCAAGCGUUAAUCGGAAUUACUGGGCGUAAAGCGCACGCAGGCGGUCUGUCAAGUCGG